GACGGAGGUCCCUAGCGUUGUUCGGAAUCACUGGGCUUAAAGCGCGUGUAGGCGGGGUGGCAAGUACCUUGUGAAAUCCCCGGGCUCAACCCGGGAAUGGCUCGGUAUACUGUCACUCUUGAGGCAGGUAGAGGUCACUGGAACCUUAGGUGGAGCGGUGAAAUGCGUAGAUAUCUAAGGGAACGCCUGUGGCGAAAGCGGGUGACUGGGCCUGCCCUGACGCUGAGACGCGAAAGCGUAGGGAGCAAACGGG
rnacentral:rRNA from 1 species